CUCACAUAUAACAGAGCUAGAAACAGAGCUCUGCUGUUCAUGCGCAUGGACGGAACAAUCCCCGUCUUAGGAUAAAUGUAAAGUGGUCCACGUCUUGAAGGUCUCAAAUAAAGAACAUACAGAUAGACAAGGGAAUCCACAUAGUGUAGUAUGUAUUAAAAUCACUUAAAAUAAGGAAUAAAAUGUAAAGUAUCGUACUCACAUUUACUAGAGCGUGCCUCGCUCUAGUUUACAGCGUAUAGGUGGUAUAAUCCCCACCAAGGAAUAAAAUGGUAACCAGGAAAAAAAAGGUAUAUAAUAAUGGAUGUCUCAGAGUGAUAAAAAUAUAUAAAAUAGUAACUGUUUAUUGUACAUAGAAAGUAAUAAAAACAAAUGAGAUACACUCAAUGAGAAAGUCCAUAAAAAAUCCACUUUACGCGUUUCACCUGUAGAGGCUUCUUCAGAAGUGUAGAUAAAGUCCUUUUAAUGUCCAAAUAUAUAAGAAAUAAAAUUUAAAACAAUUGUCUUCAUGUGUUGAAAAUUACUUACUGUUUCCUGGUUUUCGCGCGCGCGUCAUACCGGAAGUGACGCGGCGCCAUUUUAGCCAAUAGAAAAUAGAAGGAUAUGGAUGAUGUUAGCCACCGGUGGAACGCACGCGUCAUACCGGAAAUGACGCGGCGUGACCGGGCGGUGGAGUUCUAUGCGUUCCACAUGUGGAACGCAAGCGAGGAGAGGCAGAAACAUAGUGAUGAUAUAAGCAUGUACCAUGCGUUCCACAGAAGGAACGCAGAAAAAAACGGCAGUGGCUUCAUCACUAUGUAGCUCUCAAAGCACAAUGGUAGCACUGUCAAAUUGAUACAUUUCAAUGAAUCAGCAACAACAAACACAUACCAAUAAUAUAACCUUAUAUUGAUAUGUGUCAUAAUAAAAAUCAUGCAAAUAAAACUUAGCAUGCAAAUAAAAAAGCUGAUGUUUGACAUAUUGUGAUAUAUUAACCAUUAUUGAAGGGAAGCAAAUAAUACACAACUAGAACAUUGGAAUAGGAAAUAUCCUAAAAGGUGUUAUAGAUAAAUAAAAGGGUGAGAACAUAAAAAUA